rnacentral:rRNA from 1 species
UACGUAGGAUGCAAGCGUUGUCCGGAUUUACUGGGCGUAAAGCGUGCGCAGGCGGUUAUGUAAGACAGAUGUGAAAUGCCCGGGCUUAACCUGGGAACUGCAUUUGUGACUGCAUGGCUAGAGUUUGGCAGAGGGGGGUAGAAUUCCACGUGUAGCAGUGAAAUGCGUAGAUAUGUGGAGGAACACCGAUGGCGAAGGCAGCCCCCUGGGUCAAGACUGACGCUCAUGCACGAAAGCGUGGGGAGCAAACAGG